rnacentral:tRNA from 1 species
GGGCCCGUAGCUCAGCUGGCAGAGCAGUUGACUCUUAAUCAAUUGGUCGGGGGUUCGAAUCCCUCCUCCG